AGACAGGUCAGACUUUAUCUGCUGGGGGCGGUGGCCGCCUGAGGGGAAAGGGUCCCUAGUACGAGAGGAACGGGACGCUGUAGCCUCUAGUCUACCGGUUGUCCGACAGGGCACUGCCGGGCAGCCACGCUGCUGCGGAUAAGGGCUGAAGGCAUCUAAGCCCGAAGCCGCUCCCGAGAAGAGGCGGCCAUUC
rnacentral:rRNA from 1 species